rnacentral:tRNA from 1 species
CAAGGGGUAGUUUAAGUUGAAAAUACUAGUUUUGGGGGCUAGAGAUGGAGUUUCUCUCCUUGA